rnacentral:rRNA from 1 species
UACGUAGGACACGAGCGUUAUCCGGAUUUACUGGGCGUAAAGCGCCUGUAGGUGGACGAACAAGUCGGCUGUGAAAGCCCUGGGCUUAACCCGGGGAGGCCAGGCGAUACUGUUCGACUUGAGGGUGACAGAGGGGAGUGGAAUUCCCGGUGUAGCGGUAAAAUGCGCAGAUAUCGGGAGGAACACCAGUGGCGAAGGCGGCUCCCUGGGUCAUACCUGACACUGAGAGGCUAAAGCUAGGGGAGCGAACAGGAUUAGAUACCCCUGUAGUCC